GAUGAACGCUAGCUACAGGCUUAACACAUGCAAGUCGAGGGGAAACGACAUCGAAAGCUUGCUUUUGAUGGGCGUCGACCGGCGCACGGGUGAGUAACGCGUAUCCAACCGGCCCACCACUUGGGGAUAACCUUGCGAAAGUAAGACUAAUACCAAAUGACGUCUCUAGAAGACAUCUGAAAGAGAUUAAAGAUUUAUCGGUGAUGGGUGGGGAUGCGUCUGAUUAGCCUGUUGGCGGGGUAACGGCCCACCAAGGCGACGAUCAGUAGGGGUUCUGAGAGGAAGGUCCCCCACAUUGGAACUGAGACACGGUCCAAACUCCUACGGGAGGCAGCAGUGAGGAAUAUUGGUCAACGGGCGAGAGCCUGAACCAGCCAAGUAGCGUGCAGGAUGACGGCCCUAUGGGUUGUAAACUGCUUUUAUAAGGGAAUAAAGUGAGUCUCGUGAGACUUUUUGCAUGUACCUUAUGAAUAAGGACCGGCUAAUUCCGUGCCAGCCGCCGCCGUAA
rnacentral:rRNA from 1 species